UCUAAAUAGAAAAAUGGUUUGCUUUUUUUUUUUAAGGUUUAACGUGUUUAUCAUGGUUGGCAGCUAAGUAGAGGAAGAGCCAAGUCCAGAAUCUAACAUUUGGACUUCCCCUCAUUUAAACAGUGGCGUUUUGCCACGUUGCCCAGACUGGUCUCAAACUCCUCAGCUCAAACAAUCUGCCCACCUCGUCCUCCCAAGAUGCUGGGAUUACAGUCAUGA
rnacentral:lncRNA from 1 species